UACGUAGGGGGCGUAGCGUUGUCCGGAAUCACUGGGCGGUAAAGGGUUACGCAGGCGGAAAUGCAAGUCAGGUGUAAAAGGCAGUAGCUUAACUACUGUAAGCAUUUGAAACUGCAUAUCUUGAGAAGAGUAGAGGUAAGUGGAAUUUUUAGUGUAGCGGUGAAAUGCGUAGAUAUUAAAAAGAAUACCGGUGGCGAAGGCGACUUACUGGGCUCAUUCUGACGCUGAGGAACGAAAGCGUGGGUAGC
rnacentral:rRNA from 1 species